rnacentral:misc_RNA from 1 species
AAAAGCCAACGCGAGUAUCUCCCUCGCUCUGCAGUCGGUUGCUCUCACGCUACAGCUCUCUCUCUCUCUCAGGACCGACUCUCCUUUUAUCUCUCCACUGGUAUUUACAUGGCGAGGCCUUUGUCAAAUAUAAUGUUGAAGGGCAUCGCAGGUCUCUCUGCAGUGCGGUCUACUAGAACUGUUUUUGGAUCCUUUAGUUGCAAUGGAAUGAGAUAUUCAACUACUGUCCCCAGUGAUCCUGAUACACAUGAAGAUUUUCAGCCAAAUAAUAAGCUUGAGAGUUCUGGAAUGUCUUUGAAAGAUAUUGUUGAACAGGAUGUAAAGGACAAUCCAGUGAUGAUUUACAUGAAGGGGGUGCCUGAUCUUCCUCAAUGUGGAUUCAGUGCCCUGGCAGUAAGAGUGCUGAAACAGUACAAUAUUCCCUUGAGUGCAAGAAACAUUUUGGAGGAUCCUGAUCUGAAAAGUGCUGUAAAAUCAUUUAGCAAUUGGCCCACAUUUCCACAG